UACGUAGGUCCCGAGCGUUGUCCGGAUUUAUUGGGCGUAAAGCGAGCGCAGGUGGUUAAUUAAGUCUGAUGUGAAAGCCCACGGCUUAACCGUGGAGGGUCAUUGGAAACUGGUUGACUUGAGUGCAGAAGAGGGAAGUGGAAUUCCAUGUGUAGCGGUGAAAUGCGUAGAGAUAUGGAGGAACACCAGUGGCGAAGGCGGCUUCCUGGUCUGCAACUGACACUGAGGCGCGAAAGCGUGGGGAGCAAACAGG
rnacentral:rRNA from 1 species